UACGUAGGGGGCGAGCGUUGUCCGGAUUUACUGGGCGUAAAGCGCACGCAGGCGGUCUGCUAAGUUUAGAGUGACAGUUGGUGGCUUAACUGCCAAAGUGCUUCGAAAACUGACAGACUUGAGGGCUUCAGAGGGACACGGAAUUCCGGGUGGAGUGGUGGAAUGCGUAGAGAUCCGGAGGAACACCAAAGGCGAAGGCAGUGUCCUGGGGAGUACCUGACGCUCAGGUGCGAAAGCCAGGGGAGCAAGCGGG
rnacentral:rRNA from 1 species